AAGAAACUUCCCAAGGACUUCUUGGCUUUUUUGCCUGGAACAUGUCAGCAACUUUGGGCUCCACUUCAGUGAUGUCUUCUGGCUUUCCAUUAUCUCUGAUGUCACUCUGGCCUUGACUUGGGGCUUGUUGUCGGCACUGAUGUAGUACAUCUUGAACCAAGGAUCCAAACAAGGUUGGAAUUACACGCUGCACCUUCUUGGCCACAGCUUAAACAGGACCCAAGUUAAAGCUUUCUGCUGUUCAAGAAUCCUGCUGAUCAUCUUCUGUCUGGAAUCCCAUCUUAUCUGGCAUUCUGAUACAAGGGAAUGUUAUGGAAGACUAUGGUAGAGUUCUUCUGGGCUUUUUCAAGAGCACCUCUGGCCUUCCAGCUAUGAGAGAAGUGACCCACUCGCUUCUUGCAGAGACCUGCAGCACAGUCGACGUGUUCAUCCUCUUCCACUGCAUUUUCCAAAGGGAAAUAUAAAAACACAAAGUACACAUCAAUUAUUAUACACAUUUAUAUUUUUAAUAAGAAAGUGCUCAUGAAACUUUGCACACUAUGCAAAGUCAAGCAGCUGGUGUUAGAGGUACAGAAAGCCAAAAUUAAACCUGUUGUGUAGUGUCUGAAGACUCUUAGCUAAGCUAAUGCUUGGUGGCUCAUGACUGGCAUAUAUAAAUAUGCAUAUUAAUUUUAUAUUAUUAUUAGAAUUAUAUCCUUUUUAUCUUUCUAAUAUUCUUCUUAUAGAAGAAUCCCUAUCUUAAUUUUAUUUUAUCUUAAUUUUAGUCUCAAUCUGGUCUUGGACUCACUUUGUUCAGGUUUCAGUCUUGACUUGUCUCCAGUGUUCUUGACUACAACACUGAUGAAAACAAAGAGAAUGCCAAAGCCAGUAAAGCCUCUUCUUACUUUUUGAAUUCACCGCCAGGAUUUUCAUAUAUUUUAAUUUUAUAUUUAACUGUGUGGCUCUGAAUGAUAUUUAGAUUUCAGAAAACAAACAGUCUAAGCAUUCGCCCUGUCAUCAGGAGAUCGAGUCUGGCCCAUGGAUGGUAGGAUGGCCCUCUUCCCCCAUCACCCAGAGGCAUUCUAGCCUGUACGGGUGUUUGUUAGCUGACAUGACAGAAUUGCCAGUUAGUGUUCUCCUUCAAGCACGCUGAGCUGUCUAAUGAUGUUGUGCUUAGCAGUUCAGAAAGAUGCCGUAGUGCUUCACGUGACUAAGGAAGCUGGUGCUAGCCUUCACUCUCGGGUUUGGAAUUGUGUUAUAGGGUUACAAAUAAAUAAAUAAAUUAAUUAACAGAUUUUAAUUUAAGAGGCACUGCUUGAGAUACUGAUGAGCAGUGUUGCCAGAUUGGGUAGGCACCCAGAUUGGGCGGAUUUGGUCUGGCGGGGAAAAUAAUUAUGUGAACAGCUUUUGGUUCUUCAUAGCAGUGAUAAACACAUUAGUUAAAGAGACCAACAAUGCCAUCAAGUCUUCCACUUGAAAACCUAUGUGCAAAUUUUCGAAGGCAAGACAUCAGCGAAAAACAUACCUACAAGCUCAUUAUAGAUGUCACGUUGGUGAUUAUAUUGAUUUGUGGUUAAAAUGACCUUUUUGCUUCUGAUGCAUACUUUUUCAUGCAUUUUUGGUGAGUUUUGAACAUUUGUGGCCUGAAAACUCUAGAAGCAACUUGGCAACUCUGCUCACCAGUGACUUACUGCUAUGAAGGACUCAAGUUUGGUAGCAUUAUGUUACAGGAGGACAUAAAAUAUAACUAAUUUUUCUCAUGAAAGUGAAGGAGCUUUUGAGCUGCUCUUGUUAGCUUUAGUAGAACAAUGUUUAACGUCAGGCAUUUGUCAGUUUGUUUGCACAUUAACAAAAGGCCCUCCUCUUCUUUUUUUAUUCUUAAUUAGAUCCUGAUACCAAGCCAAGUUAAGGUUUGUUCACACAUUUCCCCUUAGGGUAUGGACUGAUGCUAGAGUGCAAAUGAGACAUCAAGGUCAGGGGUAAGAAUUAAUAAUAACUGAAAUGAACAAAAGGCUAACAUGACUUUUCAAAGUUUUGGCAUUAAUCUGAAAUUUACAAGGCCUGUCUUGGUUACCUUUAGUGGUAAUUCCCUGAUGUUUUGAGCAACAACCUCACAGCAACACCAAAGCAACCACCUGGGAUACCAUAACAACAGCCUAGCAACCACUUAGGAUAUCAUAGCAACCGCUUAGCAAUACCCUAGCAAUCACCUAGGAUACCAUAGCAACAACCUAGCAACACUCUAGCAACCACUUGGGAUACCAUAGCAACAGCCUAGCAACACUCUAGCAACCACUUGGGAUACCAUAGCAACACUCUAGCAACCACUUGGGAUACCAUAACAUCUGCCUAGCAACACCCUAGCAACCACUUGGGGUACCAUAACAUCUCCCUAGCAACACCCUAGCAACAAGCAGAAUCUGCGCAAUCACAACAUUUUAUUCAGGAAAUGCACUUUUUUAUUUAUAAAUGCAACUAUAAACAGGCAGCAACUGGUGUUGUAAACUUCAGUAAAUAAACACUUAAUAUUUCAAAUUAAAUGUGACAGUUCAUUCUCUCUAAUAGCGAAAAUAGCGAAACAGCAUAACAAUUAUGGUUUAGUAGGCUCAUGCACUUAAGAUGGAAAUAUUAUUUCCAGACAUCCAUUAAAAUUAUUUUAAGACAUUAUUUAAAUUCAUGCUCUGAAUGUACAAAAUGCUCUUUGGUCUUCUGUGUCUAGAGACGUCUUUUCUCAUUCACCUUAAUAUUUCCUUUCAUGCUUCAGGGAGCAAUUACUGCUUCAUCUUUCUGUUCUCUGUCCUUGACCAUGAACUGUGUAGCCACCCAGCCAGAAAGUAGUAAAGCUGACUGAUGGUUUAUGAAGAUUUUAAUGUCGUGAGAUAAACAGACCGUAAGAGCUAUGGAAAACCAAAAAUAGAGAAACAAAAGAAAACAAAAUAAAGUUCAAUUUCUCCAGUAAAAAUGAGAAUAUGAACAUUUCAUACUGUAAUAAGGAAACAAGGCAAUAUUCUAGCUUGCUCACGCAGUCUCUCAGCUCAUAUGCGAUAAGUGAGUUAAGAACUAUACCUACAUAUAAAAACGCAUCUUACUUAUCCAUUCACAAACUUGUGCUUAACCUGGGGUGUAUUCCAGAAAGCGGGUUUAACAAACUCUAAACCUAAGCCGGAACUCAGAGUUGACUUAUCUCGCCGUGUCAUAGUCAAAGUUUCCAGUUCCACAACAGCUGAUCAGAGUUAGUUUAGUCAAGAUUGAGUAGAUUGAACCCAGCUGAAGCGCGUUCACUGUUACCCGUAAAUAGGCAUUCGCAAUGGAGUGGCGAAAAACCGAUUCACUAUGGACACCAAUGAUGGAAAAAAGAGAGCAUCUUAUUUCACACCCAUAGAGCAGGAAAUAUUACUGACUGCAUAUGCAGAAAAUGAAUACAUAUUUACACGUAAAAGUAAUACUUCAGCAGCUGCAAAAGAAAGGGAAUUGGCAUGGCAAAAAAUUGCAGACCAAGUUAAUGCGUGAGUUAUUAUUAAAUUAUAUUUAAAUAAAACUAUGACACAUAAUUUAACAUUUAGCAAAUGGAUAUGGCAAAAAUAAUUUUAAUGUCAGUUGUAAUGGUUGUCUUGAUUUUUACAUUUUUUUUUCUUUUUUCAUUUACAUAAUAUAGGUGUAAUCCAAGUGGGGUGAAACGCACAUGGCAGCAAAUAAAGAUGAAAUAUAAAAACAGUGCAAAGUGGUAUGACUUGUACAUAACUACCUAAUGUUCUUACUUGUAACCAGCUUGGUAUGGCUUACAGUUGGUUAUGGCUUUGUAGCUAAUAGGAAAAAGGCAGAGGCACGGAAAACAGGAGGGGGACCACCACCACCGCCUUUCACCCAGGCAGAAGAGCUGGCGCUGUCACAGAACAGUGGCCGGCCUAUAACUGAUGGAAUCCCUGGAGGAAGCUCAACAGAGCCAACAACCCACCAGGACAUGACUGUUUAUGUUAAAGGAUGAAGAAACUGUCUCUGCUGUCUCAGAGUGGGAUGAUGCUCUUGGGAGGCCUAUGGAUGUACAAACAUGACAGGAGAUGUACAGCCCAAUGAGGGACCAUCAACAUCCAGAGCUCAGCUUGGAACACUGCCUGUAAAGGAUUUAUACAAGAUACACCUCCAGAAGCAAAUUGAGAACUGUGAUCUUAAGAUGGAGCACAUAAAACUCCAAAUAAAACAGACAAGCCUUGAAAUUGAGUUGCUGGAAUAUAAUUUAAAGGGCCAGGUUGUAGCGUGACUGUAUGGUGUCAUCACAUAUGGCAUGCAGGGAUACCCUCUGUCUGCAAGGAGGAGACUAUCGUAUUGUCCUGUGCUUUGAUUGGGAUGUGGGUUCCAUCCAUGCAGCCAAUGACUCUUGGAAAUCCUGAAAUAUUAAAAGAUGCAGAGCUAUUUCCACUUCCCAAUUAUUUUAUCCUUUUGUAAUCUUUGUUAAUAAAUACAAACCUGCAAUUCUGUGGAAUUCCUCUUUGAUGUUCAUUACAGGCUUAUGCCCAGGGAACACCACAAAACUGUACAUCAAACGUUUUAAUGCUAGGCAUACUUUUCGGACGGACCGACAUACAGUAGCCUUCCCUAUGUGUUCAGCGUCUCCUACAUUGUAUAAAAAGGAACCAUUUGCAAAAAAACGGAGAGCAAUGCAUAAAGUUUGCAAAGAAGUAAGUGCGGAUCCAUGAUGUGUGAUAUUGGAAAUGUAUGGCUUUAGAAUAUUAUUUAAGUAUCUAAUUGACUGUGAGGAAAAACGGUAACGUUCACGGAGAUACUCGUUGGGUAAUGAAAGUAUGUCCAAUCUGGGUCUAAUGACUCGUUCCCGACGAAGAGCUCGAUGAAUGAUUUGCGCUUCAAUAUCAACUGGAUCCUCGAGGAAAGGACACGCCAUGUUUGCUAGAGAAAAGUGCGUGUGAACCCGGGUUAUGUUUAAGUUAACCUGCCAGCGAGCAGGUUAGCUUCAGAGUGUAAGUUGCUAUAGUAACUGACACCGGUUUUCUUUAAUCUCAGUUUCUGGAACGGAAAACCUUGAGUUUGUUGUGAAUUCUGAGUUAACUUACCCGGUUUUAUCGCUUAACCCGCUUUCUGGAAUACACCCCUGAGUCUAGACAGUCAUAACAGAACUGUUUCUAACUAUAAGGCACUCAGCAUUUUCUCUCUCCUCCACUGUAGUGAGGUUGCUUUAGUUAUUUUUGCUGAUGCAUCUAAGAAUCCAUGCUACAGCUCUAAUCACCCGAGACCCGUGAAAACUUACACAGAUGAUCAACUAUGCUUACUUGUUCUGUCGUUUUGCUUCUCAAAGUUUAAGCACUUCUGACUUCGGGAUCUUCUAUCUCCAGCUCUGGAGUAACAUCUUCCGGCAGCUGAAAUUCCCUUUUCCAUAAAAACUCUAGACUCGUGAACCAGGUAGAUGUCAGAAGGUCAUUGAGGGCCAGGCCUCUGGAGGCAUGGUCAGCAGAAUUCUUUGUUAGAAGAAACAUACCUCCCCUGUUGAGGAUUUGAGCUAAGGUGUAUUUUCUGGACUCGGUUUGCGACAAACAUGUGAAAACGUCUUCGUUCUUUAUAUACCCUAAAACCACCUUGGAGUCAGUCCAGAAGAACUCCUCUGCCUGAAGAAAUGCCAUCUCCUCCCUAAGCAUGUUGCUUAUCUUCACAGAAAUGACAGCAGCUGUCAAUUCCAGCCUAGGAACAUUUGUAACCUUUGUUGGAGCUACUCGGGAUUUCCCAUUGACUCAAGCACAGUACACAUCCCCAUUUUCAUUAUGAAACCUCAAGUAGGAACACUGGCCAUACCCUAAUAUGCUAGUGCCAGAUAAAUGAUGCAAUUUGGUCUUGGUAAUGCUUCCAAAUCAAUCUGGUGCAUAACAAUGGGAUAUGAUGACCUGGGCACCCAGGGGAUAAAGGUCCUUGUUCUCCUUGGCCAGAUACUUCAGCCCGUGAUUGGCACAUCCAGGAGAGGAAACAGCGCCGAAUAGAUGUACUCUCAUAUGGCAAGUUUCUGUCGGCUUCACGUACAAGAAACUGGUGGAACAUCUUCUCGACAUCGCACGUUAAUGCAAUGGUGUGUUACUGAAACCUAAUAAGAGCCCCAAUUAUGUUGUUCAUCAAAUCAGGACCAGUGAGAAGAUGGUUGUUCCCUUAUACCUAGCUGAACAGUCAAACACUACUCGAUGUUUAUUUGGCUUUUUUGUGUGGUAGAUGCCAUGAUGCGGGAUAUACCAUCUCUCACCUUCAACGCCCCAGUUUUGGACUUCCUCUGCAUCUCCCUUAUCAAUAACCUCCUUCAUGAAAUUGACAUAAUGCCCCUAUACUUGCUGUCCUUUGCCAAUUUCCUUUUCAGGUGGUUAAGCUGCAGAAUAGCUAAAUUCUUGUUGUCUGGUAGACAACAAGGGUCUCUUCUUGAAGAGGAGAGGCAUUUCGUAAUGACCCUCACUGUUCUUCCAUAUAUCCUCACUUAACUUGUCAAGGAACAUGACAUCAUCUUGAGAAACUGUCUUGCUGUCUUCCUUUACAUCCUUGAAGUCAGACUCUAGAAUACGAAUGACAUCUGCAGGAGUUACAGGUGGUAAUUCUUUGACAGAAGUCUGUCUGAAUGGCAAAGGGUUCGUCAUUUCCUCCCAGAAUAACCUGCUUUGGCACUACUGCUCUCGAGAAGUUGUAGCCGAUGAACAGGCCUACUUCACAGUCUUUGAGUGGCUGGAGCUCAUCAGCUAUUUCUGAGAGAUGGGCCCAUUGCCUGGCUGACUGACA